rnacentral:lncRNA from 1 species
CUGCCUCGGAAGCCAUGGUUUGUAAGCAGCAGGGCUUUGCGGCGGCGGGGCCACAGCGAGACCUGCUUCUGUGACCCAGCGCUAGUGUAGGGGUUCCUGCGAAAAGCAGAGAGGAGAAUUGCGCGUCUGGACUUGUCUGGGCUAUCCUCAACCCUCUCCCCAGAGACAUGAAACGGUUUAUUCUCCCGCAGAAGAAAGGGACAGUGGCCCCCGGCUCCUCCAGGACUCGAGGAGAGGCCUCAGGGCGCUGGCUGGAGACGAGGGAUGGGAACCGUGCGCCAUGACAGAGCUCGAGAAAAUCCACCGGGGUGCCGCUUGGGCAACGUGGCGAAAGUGCAGCACAGUGUUUUGCUGGGGAUCUCUGGUCUCAACCUAGGAGUCAAAAAGGACAGACUAUGGAAAUGAUGUUAGACAAAAAGCAAAUCGAGUGAUAUUCGAAUUCAAAAUGGGUUAUAAUGCAGCGGAGAUAAUUCGCAACAUCAACAAUGCAUUUGGCCAGGAACUGCUAACAAACAUGCAGUGCAGUGAUGGUUCAAGAAAUUUUGCAAAGGAGACGAGAGCCUUGAAGAUGAGGAGCACAGUGGCUGGCCAUUGGAAGUUGACUGCAACCAGCUGAGAGCAAUCAUCUAGCAAUCCUCUUACAACUAGCUAAGAAGUUGCCGAAUAACUCAAUGUCAGCCAUUCUUUGGUCAUUCUGCAUUUGAAGCAAAUUGGAAAAGUGAAAAAGCUCAAUAAGUGGGUGCCUCAUGAGCUGAGCGGAAGUAAAAACAAAUUGUCGUUUCGAAGUGUCCUCUUAUUCUAUGCAGCAACAACGAACCAUUUUUCAAUUGGAUUGUGAUGUGCAACGAAAAGUGGAUUUUGUAUGGCAACUGGCGAUGACCAGCUCAGUGGCUGAGCUGAGAGCAACCACUUUAGGAAGCUCCAAAGCACUUCCUAAAGCCAAACUUGCACCAAAAAAAGGUCAUGGUCACUGGUGGUCUGCUGCCAUUCUGAUCCACUACAGCUUUCUGAAUCCUGGUUAAACCAUUACAUCUGAAAACUAUGCUCAGCAAAUUGAUGAGAUGAACUGAAAACUGCAACUCCUGCAGCCGGCAUUGGUCAACAGAAAGGGCUUAAUUCUCCACGACAUUGCCCGACUAAAUGUCACACAACCAAUGCUUCAAAAGUUGAACGAUACCACUGCGCUCCAGCCUGGGCGACAGAGCGAGACUCCGUCUCAAAAAAAAAAAAAAAAAAAAAAAAAGUUGAACGAAUUGGGCUACGAAGUUUUGCCUCACCACCGUACUCACCUGCCCUCUUGCCAGUCGACUACCACUUCUUCAAGCAUCUGGAGAACUUGCAGGGAAAUGUUUCCACAAACAACAGGAGGCAGAAAAUACUUUCCAAGAGUUUGUCAAAUCCUGAAGCAAGGAUUUUUACACUACAGUAAUAAACUUAUUUCUCAUUGGUAAAAAUGUGUUGAUUGUAAUGGUUCCCAUUUUGAUUAAUAAAGACGUGUUUGAGCC